GACACAGGGAGGUAGUGACAAGAAAUAACAAUACGGGGCUUAAUGUCUUGUAAUUGGAAUGAUGGGAAUUUAAACCUCUUCCAGAGUAUCAAUUGGAGGGCAAGUCUGGUGCCAGCAGCCGCGGUAAUUCCAGCUCCAAUAGCGUAUAUUAAAAUUGUUGCAGUUAAAAAGCUCGUAGUUGAAUUUCUGCUGCAUUGCUUGUGUCCCUCCGGGGUCUGUGCAUGUGGCUUUUUUCGGACGGAGUUUCUUUGUCUGAAUGUUUACUUUGAGAAAAUUAGAGUGCUCAAAGCAGGCUUUUGCCUUGAAUAGUUUAGCAUGGAAUAAUAAAGUAGGACUUUGGUUCUAUUUUGUUGGUUUUAGGUACCAAAGUAAUGGUUAAUAGGAACAGUUGGGGGCAUUCGUAUUUAACUGUCAGAGGUGAAAUUCUUAG
rnacentral:rRNA from 1 species